CCAUUUUGCAAAGCUCUGCGGUUGACGGAUCUCCGGGCCUCUGGAGCAUCCGCCCUCGACAAGGAAGGAAGGAAAGAAGGAGGAAGGGAGGGAAGAAGGAAGGAAGGCCGAUCAAAGACCAUAGUGAGAAUCUUAUUAACGCUCUGAAACUUCUCGCAAUAAAAUCAACGUAAACAGAGAAUGUUCCAUAAAACUCCAGGACUUUCAUGCAUUCCCAGAAACCUAUUCUGGGGACCGCCAGGUCAUCGCUGCAGGAAAGAAGGAGAGGACAAACAUCUAUCACCAUACUGGCGGCAAAGACAAAGAUAUGGAGUCUUCAGAGAAAGCUACAAGCAAAGAGGGCUGGUGGCUCAGUCCUAACCGGGUCUCAGGAUGAGGAAUGACAAUGUUUGGAAGCAUCUUCAACAUAAUUGUGGUACCCAAGAGAACUUUCAAGAUAUAAGCCAGCAGUAAAAUAGUUGUAGAACUGAAGAGCAAAGCAGAAACCGUAAAUGAAUUAUUAUAACCGCUCCAAUUCAGUGUAAAGUUUUUGCUUCUAAGGGCAUAACACUCAGAUACCUACUGAGCGUAUGUACGUGCAUCUGUGAACCGCAGUGGUUAAUCAAGUUAAAAUUCAAGGUUGGGGUUUUGGUUUCUUGUUUUGUUCUGUUCACAUGAGAAGGGGAGAUAUGGAACAGUUGAA